rnacentral:rRNA from 1 species
AUUGAACGCUAGCGGGAUGCUUUACACAUGCAAGUCGAACGGCAGCGCGGACUUCGGUCUGGCGGCGAGUGGCGAACGGGUGAGUAAUGUAUCGGAACGUGCCCAGUAGCGGGGGAUAACUACGCGAAAGCGUAGCUAAUACCGCAUACGCCCUACGGGGGAAAGCAGGGGAUCGUAAGACCUUGCACUAUUGGAGCGGCCGAUAUCGGAUUAGCUAGUUGGUGAGGUAACGGCUCACCAAGGCGACGAUCCGUAGCUGGUUUGAGAGGACGACCAGCCACACUGGGACUGAGACACGGCCCAGACUCCUACGGGAGGCAGCAGUGGGGAAUUUUGGACAAUGGGGGCAACCCUGAUCCAGCCAUCCUGCGUGUGCGAUGAAGGCCUUCGGGUUGUAAAGCACUUUUGGCAGGAAAGAAACGUCGCGGGCUAAUACCCCGUGGAACUGACGGUACCUGCAGAAUAAGCACCGGCUAACUACGUG